UUUCCGUAGGUGAACCUGCGGAAGGAUCAUUAUCGAGUUUUGACUGGUUGUAGCUGGCCUUCCGAGGCAUGUGCACGCCCUGCUCAUCCACUCUACACCUGUGCACUUACUGUGGGUAUCAGAUCGUGAAGCGUGCUCUUUUACCGGAGCUUGUGAAGCGUGUCUAUGCCUGCGUUUAUCACAAACACUAUAAAGUAUCAGAAUGUGUAUUACGAUGUAACGCAUCUAUAUACAACUUUCAGCAACGGAUCUCUUGGCUCUC
rnacentral:misc_RNA from 1 species